rnacentral:rRNA from 1 species
AUUGAACGCUGCGGCAGGCUUAACACAUGCAAGUCGAGCGGGGUGAUGGUGCUUGCACUAUCACUUAGCGGCGGACGGGUGAGUAAUGCUUAGGAAUCUGCCUAUUAGUGGGGGACAACAUCUCGAAAGGGAUGCUAAUACCGCAUACGUCCUACGGGAGAAAGCAGGGGAUCACUUGUGACCUUGCGCUAAUAGAUGAGACUAAGUCGGAUUAGCUAGUUGGUGGGGUAAAGGCCUACCAAGGCGACGAUCUGUAGCGGGUCUGAGAGGAUGAUCCGCCACACUGGGACUGAGACACGGCCCAGACUCCUACGGGAGGCAGCUGUGGGGAAUAUUGGACAAUGGGGGGAACCCUGAUCCAGCCAUGCCGCGUGUGUGAAGAAGGCCUUAUGGUUGUAAAGCACUUUAAGCGAGGAGGAGGCUCUUUUGGUUAAUACCCAGAAUGAGUGGACGUUACUCGCAGAAUCAGCACCGGCUAACUCUGUGCCAGCCGCCGCCGUAA